rnacentral:rRNA from 1 species
AUGUCACAAGUCACAACUGCUGUACUUAUGCAGGUAGUGUCAGAUUUAUCUUCACAACCUUACCUUACUUUUGACAGGUCUCCCUCCAAAUUUGUGCAGAGAACAGGAACUACAUUCUGUUCAGGAAAAUACUCAGUCAAAUGCCAAGAAGAUUUUUUUUUUGAAGUGAGUAUGGUAAGCAAGAAUACAAGAUUACCUGAUAUACAAAUGAAAGAGCAAUUAUUGGUAUACUUUGGGGAGCAGCAGCAAAAUUCGUUUCGAGAAGAGAACUCCACUAAAACGCAUGUGACUGCUGAGGCCAAGAAUCCAGCUUCUUGUGUGACGGCAGGGAUCGCAAGGAUACCUGCCCCGACCUAUGGCAUCAACGUAGAUGAAAAGGAAGGGAUGUCUCAAGUAGUUCCUAACAUUUGUGAAAUAAGGCCACUGUGGGUUGAGUUUUGUCUCAAAGUUGCUGAAGCUUCAAGGUCUUGCAUUUUACAUCAAAGGCGGCAAGAAGGAAGACGGAACCGGUGA